UACGUAGGGUCCGAGCGUUGUCCGGAAUUAUUGGGCGUAAAGAGCUCGUAGGUGGUUUGUCGCGUCUGCCGUGAAAGCCCGGGGCUUAACCCCGAGCCUGCAGUGGAUACGGGCAGACUAGAGGUAGGUAGGGGAGAAUGGAAUUCCCGGUGUAGCGGUGAAAUGCGCAGAUAUCGGGAGGAACACCGGUGGCGAAGGCGGUUCUCUGGGCCUUACCUGACGCUGAGGAGCGAAAGCGUGGGGAGCGAACAGG
rnacentral:rRNA from 1 species